rnacentral:rRNA from 1 species
ACCGGCGCACGGGUGCGUAACGCGUAUGCAAUCUACCUUUUACAGAGGGAUAGCCCAGAGAAAUUUGGAUUAAUACCUCAUAGCAUAGCAGCUUCGCAUGAAGUCACUAUUAAAGUUCCAACGGUAAAAGAUGAGCAUGCGUCCUAUUAGCUAGAUGGUAAGGUAACGGCUUACCAUGGCUACGAUAGGUAGGGGUCCUGAGAGGGAGAUCCCCCACACUGGUACUGAGACACGGACCAGACUCCUACGGGAGGCAGCAGUGAGGAAUAUUGGACAAUGGGCGCAAGCCUGAUCCAGCCAUGCCGCGUGCAGGAAGACGCAUCUAUGGUGUGUAAACUGCUUUUGUACGGGAAGAAACACUCCCUCGUGAGGGAGCUUGACGGUACCGUAAGAAUAAGGAUCGGCUAACUCCGUGCCAGCAGCCGCGGUAAUACGGAGGAUCCAAGCGUUAUCCGGAAUCAUUGGGUUUAAAGGGUCCGUAGGCGGUUUGGUAAGUCAGUGGUGAAAGCCCAUCGCUUAACGAUGGAACGGCCAUUGAUACUGCCAGACUUGAAUUACUAGGAAGUAACUAGAAUAUGUAGUGUAGCGGUGAAAUGCUUAGAUAUUACAUGGAAUACCAAUUGCGAAGGCAGGUUACUACUAGUGGAUUGACGCUGAUGGACGAAAGCGUGGGGAGCGAACAGGAUUAGAUACCCUGGUAGUCCACGCCGUAAACGAUGGAUACUAGC